rfam:Populus trichocarpa scaffold_2_contig_69, whole genome shotgun sequence.
CUGACAUGUGUGUGAGUCAACAAACGAGUAAACUUGUAAGGCUCAUUGAAGCUGACUGCCAGGAUCCCUUUGAGGGUUGCACUGCUGACCGACCUUGAUCUUAUGAGAAAGGUUCAAGUGAGAGUAUGCCUAUUGGGACUUGAAAGAUGGUGAAUUAUGCCUAAGCAGGGCGAAUCCAGAGGAAACUCUGGUGGAGGCUUGCAAGGAUACUGACGUGCAAAUCAUUCGUCUGACUUGGGUAUAGGGGCGAAAGACUAAUCAAAUCGUCUAGUAGUUGG